rnacentral:rRNA from 1 species
UACGAAGGGGGCUAGCGUUGCUCGGAAUUACUGGGCGUAAAGCGCACGUAGGCGGCUUUCUAAGUCGGGGGUGAAAUCCUGGAGCUCAACUCCAGAACUGCCUUCGAUACUGGAGAGCUCGAGUCCGGGAGAGGUGAGUGGAACUGCGAGUGUAGAGGUGAAAUUCGUAGAUAUUCGCAAGAACACCAGUGGCGAAGGCGGCUCUCUGGCCCGGUACUGACGCUGAGGUGCGAAAGCGUGGGGAGCAAACAGG